rnacentral:rRNA from 1 species
CAUGUCUUUUUGAGUUUAAUUUAAAGUCUAACCUGCUCCAUGAAAUUUAAAUAGCUGCAGUAUUUUGACUGUACUAAGGUAGCAUAAUCAAUAGUUUUUUAAUUGAAAGCUGGAAUGAAUGGUUGAACGAAAUAAUUAUUGUCUCAAUUUUAUUAAACUUAAAAUUUUUUUUUUAGUAAAAAUACUAAAGUAAAAUUAAAAGACGAGAAGACCCUAUAGAUUUUAAUAUUUUUUGAUUAAAUCUAAUUUAAAAAAAAAUUUAAUUUAAUUUAAAAUUAUUUGAUUGGGGAAAUUUUUAAAUUUAAUAAAUUUUAAUUUUUAUAAAACAAUAAUUAAUGGUUUUUUGAUUAUAAAUUUUAUUAUAAGAGGAUAAAAUACCUUAGGGAUAACAGCGUAAUUUUUUUGGGGAGAUCAUAUUUAUAAAAGAGAUUGCGACCUCGAUGUUGAAUUAAGAUAAAAUUUUAAUGAAGGAGUUAAAAAAUUUUGGUUUGUUCAACCAUUAAAAUCUUACGUGAUC